UCCGGUUUGUCACCGGCGGUCUCCUUAGAGUUCCCAACUUAAUGAUGGCAACUAAGGACAAGGGUUGCGCUCGUUGCGGGACUUAACCCAACAUCUCACGACACGAGCUGACGACAGCCAUGCAGCACCUGUCUUACGGUUCCCGAAGGCACCAAGGCAUUUCUGCCGAGUUCCGCGGAUGUCAAGGCCAGGUAAGGUUCUUCGCGUUGCAUCGAAUUGAACCACAUGCUCCACCGCUUGUGCAGGCCCCCGUCAAUUUCUUUGAGUUUCAACCUUGCGGCCGUACUCCCCAGGCGGAAUGCUUAAUGCGUUAGCUGCGCCACUGAACAGCAAGCUGCCCAACGGCUAGCAUUCAUCGUUUACGGCGUGGACUAC
rnacentral:misc_RNA from 1 species